rnacentral:lncRNA from 1 species
GCCGGGGAUGGAGACUGGGAACUGGGGAUGCGGCCCUCUGCGCUCCGAGCUCUCCCGCCGCUGUGCUGCCCCGCGCGGGACGGUGGCCUCUCUGGGCCUCGUUCGCCGCCAUAAAGGAAGCAAGAUGGCGCCCCCCGGAUGGGAGCGAGAAUAAGAGGCGGAAUCUUCCCCCGGCCUCCGAGACUGCAGGGGCCGGUCCUGCCUGGCCUGGCCUGGGCCUGUGCCUGCAGCUGCUCAGCGCGGCCCUUCCCCGGGCCUUUGAAUUUGUAGUUCCCUGGGCAGCACUGUUCCCAGCUGCCUCGGGCCGGGUUAAAUGCUGCGGUCUCAGCACGGCCCGCCCGGAGCCUCCUCGCCGGCGGCGCCUCCGCUCCCCACGCCAUUGUCCCACUGUGGAGUGAUCUUUGUCCCACUUAGCUGAAGGCCUCCUGCGUGUUUCCCCCACUCCCACCCCAUCCCAGUGGACUGUGCGCUCCCGGAGGGCAAGGCCCUAUCUGGUUUGAAGUCCCGUACAUCCCCAGAGCCUAGCCACACAGAGCCUAGCAUAUAGUAGGUGCUCAAUAAAUACCUUUUUUUUUUUUUUUUUUUUUGGUAAAGCAGGGUCUCACUCUUGCCCAGACUGGAAUGCAGGAGCCUGAUCACAGCUCACUUUAGCCUCAACCUCCCAGGCUCAAGUGUUCCUCCUGCCUCAACCUCCUGAGUAGCUGGGCACAUGCCACCACGUCCGGCUAAUUGUUUUUUUUUUUGAGACGCAGUUUCGCUCUUGUUGCCCAGGCUGGUAUGCAUUGACGCGAUCUCGGCUCACCGCAAACUCCGCCUCCAGGGUUCAACAGAUCCUCCUGCCUCAGCCUCCCGAAAUUACAGGCAUGUGCCACCACAUCUGGCUAACCAGCUAAUCUUUUUUUUUUUUUUUUUUUUUUUUUUUUUGAGACAGAGUCUCGCCCUGUCCCCCAGGCUGGAAUGCAGUGGCGCCAUUUCGGCUCAAUGCAAGCUCCGCCUCCAGGGUUCACGCCAUUCUCAGCCUCCCGAGUAGCUGGCACUACAGGCACCCCACCGCGCCCGGCUAAUUUUUUGUAUUUUCAGUAGGGACGGGGUUUCACCGUGUUAGCGAGGAUGGUCUCGAUCUCCUGACCUCGUGAUCCGCCCGCCUCGGCCUCCCAAAGUGCUGGGAUUACAGGCGUGAGCCACCGCGCCCGGCCUAAUUUUGUAUUUUUAGUAGAGACGGUGUUUCAACAUGUUGGUGAGGCUGGUCUCGAACUUCCGACCUCAGGUGAUCCACCUGCCUCGGCUUCCCAAAGUGCCGGGAUUACAGGUGGGAACUACCGCGCCCGGCCAUUUUUGCAUUUUUUUGUAGAGACGGGUUUCACUAUGUUGCCCAGGCUGGUCCGGAACUCCUGGGUUCAAGCCAUCCUCCCACCUUGGCCUCCCAAAGUGCUGGGAUUAUAAGCGUGAGCCACGAUGAGCAGCCUAAAUACUUGUUGAAUGGAUGAAUUUGACAGACAGUGGGCACCUUCUCUGUGUAGGCUCAUGCUGGGCCUUAGCGUCAUUCUCUUGCCUUGCUCUCCUGGUAGGGUCUUGGACCCAGAUGUGAGCUCCUGGUGCUCUGAGGGGAUGGGGUGGGCUGUGUGUUCAGGCAACGUGGCACAGACCAGGCAGAGAAAGGGAGAAGCGCCUUGCUGGCAGGGCCUGGAGGUGGAGACAGGUGAACAGAGGCCUGAUGGGCAAGGUUAGAGGGGCUGAUACAGCCGAGCUGGGGUGUGAUGUGACGUUGGGGAGGCAAUGUGGAGCCCCGGGUGGAAAGAACUGGAAUGUCAAGGAGAAUGGGGAGCCCUGCAGGAUCUAGGUAGCUGAGGGAGUGACUCACUGGGUUUAUUUACCCAGAGAAGAGAUCUCGCUCUGAUGCCCAGGCUGGAGUGUAGUGAUGCAGUCACAGCUCACUGCAGCUCAAGCCAUCCUCCCACCACAGCCUCCCGGAGCACUGGGAUUACAGGCAUGAGCCACCAUGCCCGUCUGCCUACCCACCCACCUGACCUACUGUUUUUUUUGUUUGUUUGGUUGGUUGGUUGGUUUUUCUUUUUUGAGACGGAGUCUUGCUCUGUUGCCAGGCUCACUGCAAUCGCGGCUCACUGCAACCUCCGGGGUUCAAGCGAUUCUCCUGCCUCAGCUUCCCUAGUGGCUGGGACUACAGGUGCGUGCCACCAUGCCCAGCUAAUUAU